UGGCUCAGUGGUAAAGUGCUUGUCUAGCAUGCAUGAGGCCCUAGGUUCGAUUCCUUG
rnacentral:tRNA from 1 species